rnacentral:rRNA from 1 species
UACGUAGGCAGCAAGCGUUGUUCGGAAUUACUGGGCGUAAAGAGUGUGUAGGCGGUGCUCCAAGUCUGUGGUGAAAUCUCUGGCUCAACUCAGAGUCUGCCAUAGAAACUGUAGUGCUAGAGUGUGGGAGAGGUGAGUGGAAUUCCCGGUGUAGCGGUGAAAUGCGUAGAUAUCAGGAGGAACACCGGUGGUGUAGGCGGGUCUCUGGGCCGUAACUGACGCUGAGGAGCGAAAGCGUGGGGAGCGAACAGG